UUUAACUGGAGAAAGCAUUAUAUGAAAAUGGUGAACUGGAGCUACGUGGAGUGAUCUGGAGGGAGCUGUUUUCUCUGGCUGGCCAGGGCAGCAGAGCUGGAAGGACUUGGUGACUGGCUGCGACUAGGACCUCAUGCAUGUAAUGGUUGAAGGAGGGUGAAAUCUGCACAGCCCACAAGAAUGUAAGAAGCCAAAUGAAACCUCUGUAAAUG
rnacentral:lncRNA from 1 species